UUCCACUCAUUGGUACAAACUCCAAACAUUCUUCCAAAUUCGACCUCAAAUCAGGUAGGACUACCCGCUGAACUUAAGCAUAUAU
rnacentral:rRNA from 1 species